rnacentral:rRNA from 1 species
GACGAACGCUGGCGGCGCGCCUAACACAUGCAAGUCGAACGAUCGAGAGAGAGCUUUCUUUCUCGAGCGAGUGGCGAACGGGUGAUUAACGCGUGAGGAACCUGCCUCAAAGAGGGGGACAACAAUUGGAAACGACUGCUAAUACCGCAUAAGCCCACGACCCGGCAUCGGGUAGAGGGAAAAGGAGCAAUCCGCUUUGAGAUGGCCUCGCGGCCGAUUAGCUAGUUGGUGAGGUAACGCCCCACCAAGGCGACGAUCGGUAGCCGGACGGAGAGGUUGAACGGGCACAGCGGGACUGAGACACGGUACAGACUACCACGCGAGGCCGAAGUGGGGAAAAAUGGAGAGGGGGGGAUACCCUGAUGGAGCGAAGGCGCGCGGAGGGAGGAGGUAUUAGGACAGUAACCCUGCGUUGAUGAAGAAGACACAGACGGUAAUGACCAAGGAAGUGACGGAGACCCACGU